CUACGUGCCAGCAGCCGCGGUAAUACGGAGGGUGCGAGCGUUAAUCGGAAUAACUGGGCGUAAAGGGCACGCAGGCGGUGACUUAAGUGAGGUGUGAAAGCCCCGGGCUUAACCUGGGAAUUGCAUUUCAUACUGGGUCGCUAGAGUACUUUAGGGAGGGGUAGAAUUCCACGUGUAGCGGUGAAAUGCGUAGAGAUGUGGAGGAAUACCGAAGGCGAAGGCAGCCCCUUGGGAAUGUACUGACGCUCAUGUGCGAAAGCGUGGGGAGCAAACAGGAUUAGAUACCCUGGUAGUCCACGCUGUAAACGAUGUCGAUUUGGGGGUUGAACUUUAGGUUUGGCGCCCGUAGCUAACGUGAUAAAUCGACCGCCUGGGGAGUACGGCCGCAAGGUUAAAACUCAAAUGAGUUGACGGGGGCCCGCACAAGCGGUGGAGCAUGUGGUUUAAUUCGAUGCAACGCGAAGAACCUUACCUACUCUUGACAUCCAGAGAACAUUC
rnacentral:rRNA from 1 species